rnacentral:rRNA from 1 species
GAUGAACGCUGGCGGCGUGCUUAACACAUGCAAGUCGAACGGAAAGGCCCAAGCUUGCUUGGGUACUCGAGUGGCGAACGGGUGAGUAACACGUGGGUGAUCUGCCCUGCACUUCGGGAUAAGCCUGGGAAACUGGGUCUAAUACCGGAUAGGACCACUUCUUGGAUGUUGUGGUGGAAAGUUUUUUCGGUGUGGGAUGAGCUCGCGGCCUAUCAGCUUGUUGGUGGGGUAAUGGCCUACCAAGGCGUCGACGGGUAGCCGGCCUGAGAGGGUGUACGGCCACAUUGGGACUGAGAUACGGCCCAGACUCCUGCGGGAGGCAGCAGUGGGGAAUAUUGCACAAUGGGCGCAAGCCUGAUGCAGCGACGCCGCGUGGGGGAUGACGGCCUUCGGGUUGUAAACUCCUUUCGCUAGGGACGAAGCGUUUUGGGACGGUACCUGGAGAAGAAGCACCGGCUAACUACGU